rnacentral:rRNA from 1 species
AAUGAACGCUGGCGGUGCGCCUUAUGCAUGCAAGUCGAACGGGGUUACAGUCUUCGGAUUGUAACCUAGUGGCGGACGGCUGAGUAACGCGUAAGUAACCUGCCUUAGAGUGGGAAAUAACCUGCCGAAAGGCAAGCUAAUGUCCCAGUGGUAACGAAGCGAAUGCUUUGUUAUUAAAGCCUUAGGGUGCUCGAAGAGGGACUUGCGUCUGAUUAGCUAGUUGGUAGGGUAAUGGCCUACCAAGGCGAUGAUCAGUAGCUGGUCUGAGAGGAUGGUCAGCCAGAUGGGGACUGAGACACGGCCCCAACUCCUACGGGAGGCAGCAGCAAGGAAUCUUGGGCAAUGAGCGAAAGCUUGACCCAGCGACACCGCGUGAGGGAUGAAGGCCUUCGGGUUGUAAACCUCUUUUCUUGGGGAAGAAUUCUGACGGUACCCAAGGAAUAAGCCUCGGCUAACUACGUGCCAGCAGCCGCGGUAAGACGUAGGAGGCGAACGUUAUUCGGAUUUACUGGGCGUAAAGGGAGCGUAGGCGGUUCCUUAAGUCAGAUGUGAAAUCUUCUGAUUCAAUCAGAAGGCGUCAUUUGAUACUGAGGGACUUGAGAGCAACAGAGGGAAAUGGAAUCCCCAGUGUAGCGGUGAAAUGCGUAGAUAUUGGGGAGAACACCAGUGGCGAAGGCGAUUUCCCAGGUUGUUUCUGACGCUGAGGCUCGAAAGCGUGGGGAGCGAAGCGGAUUAGAUACCCGCGUAGUCCACGCCGUAAACGGUGGACACUAGAUAUGGGAAGUAUCGACCCUUUCUGUGUCGAAGCUAACGCCUUAAGUGUCCCGCCUGGGGAGACGGCCGCAAGGCU